AUCCGAUUGUAUGGUAUCAACAUUACUUCGAACCCUAAUUCGCAUCACUGAAAGAUCUUCAAUAACAAGAUGUCUUUUGAACCCACUUGCUCACGUAAAUCUUUAGUAUUACGUGUGCAUUUGAUGAAUCUUGGAAGACUUGGGAGCUCGGGGUGGAAUUAUUUCCGACGUUGGACUUCUUUGAGACACAAAUGUCAUCCACACCAAGGCGUGGUAAAAGCGAAAAGGAAGAAAGAUCGGUAAGGCUCAUGAUCAGGUUAGUUGCUUAAUCUUUGAUAAUGAAAUUUGUCGAAACGUGUGACUAACUCAAUGUUCUAGAUAACAAAUCACCCGCGACAACGAAGGCUGCAUCCGAAUUUUUCCCCACAACUUCAGCACGUCAUAAAAGAGGUCAUAUCGCAGUGUGGUGACGUCGAAGUGAGCAACUGUAGUAGAGUCGGUGGUCUCAGAUGUUGGCGAGACAGGGGUUUAGGUCUGAAUUGCACUGAUGGUUGCUAAGGUGUGGAUGAUGCCGACGACUAGGGUUGUUGUCGAGUGUAGAUGGUGGUUGAUUGGAAUUUAGGCUUUUGCGCUAACUCUCCAUUGGAGUAGUCGAGAAUCGUCAUCAAUCAACAAACACCAGGUGAAAGCCAUUAAGCGGCUAUGAUGGGAUUUCUUGCUUUUUUUUUUUAUAAGAAAGGCGAUUCUAACCUUUGAAUGAUUACCUUUGGAUGGUGCGUUCAAUGGUCAUGUACUUGACUAUUGUUUUGCAAGGCUACCAUGGUUGUUGGGCUGGUAAUGUUGUUAGAUUUGUGUUGAUAUGGUUACCUAUGAGUUUUACAACUUCCUUCCUUUCGCCUUUUCAGUUUUUUUAUACAUCUUAUAUACAUCUUAUAUGCUGGUCUUUCUUUGAAGGAUUUUGCACAUGAGCAUUUUUAUGUUUCUUGAGGAAUCGUCCUAUCUAGCCAUGAUGGAUUAUGUUUGAUAUCAAUGUCUAUGAUGAUUUGUAUGAGUUCAAAGAAACAUGAAUUUUUAUGUCUAUUGGUGCGACAACUAAGGUAUUUUUUUUGUUUAGAAGGCAAUCUCUUAGUAUGCAGCCAUAGAGCAUAAUCUUUAUUUCUUAAAAUCUUUGCAUUUCUGAGCCUAUGAUGUUACGUUUUUUAAGGUUAUUGACGCUUAUAUUUUUUCCAUCCACGGUAGUUGUUCAUGUUUGUAGGAUAUGGUGAUGGGUUUGAGGUUAAAUGCGAAUGAAUUUACUUUUACCAUGAUUGUGUGUCUGUGGGCUAUGAUAAUUUGUUUUAGUUCAAAGUAAGCUGAGUUCGGUUUUAAGUUCUGGAAUAAUUUAUUUAUCAAUGUAACUUCAUGUGCGUAUGCUUCACAAAAUGAUGAAGAUAUGAUCUACAUAUAUAAUGCUUACUUACACAAGCUGGUAACAUCUUUUCUAUCUCAUCCACUUGCAAGAUACAAGGUUAGUCAUGUUCAUGUUCCUUGAUAAUUUAUUGACAUUUGAUACUACACCAUCUUUUGAGCUUUAGUGAGUAAGAUGAUUUAUGCUCUAUAUGAUGUUUUUUCACAUGGUUGGUAGGUGAAAGGAACAGAGGAGAUGGCCACACCUUCUCAGAAAAUUAGAUGAAAAUCUAUAUAGCCCUGAAAAUUGUUGGUACCUUUGUUCCUUUUAUGUUCAUCUUCUCCGCGCUUUGCGAGGCGUGUUUUCUGCCAGUACUGGAUCGGUUCGUUACUUUAUCGGUACGAUGCCGACAUUCAGUAUAGCAACUGACCAUCAGUUGAAAACCAUAAAAAUGCAUGUCGAUACUAGUUUUUAACAGCUUUGGUUUGGAGAAACAGAAGGCUCUUCAUCUUGGAAUGCUGCCACAGCCCAUGUCUUGACAGUGAUGGUUCGGGUCGGAUCAUGGAUAAACUUUGUCAACGACAUUCAACUACGGUCAAUCACAGUCAAGAGUGGUCCAUCUGAAGGUUGUUAUAGUUAAUAUCAUCCUAGGCACUCAUGUAUGGGCAGAAGACCUAGCAAUAUGUUGAGUGGUGGAGGUUGCGACUAAUUUUGUUGAGCCGAAUUUCGAAGGAGUCGUUUCUUUGACUGUUUUGGAAUGUGGAACAUCGGACUAG
rnacentral:lncRNA from 1 species